GGAGGUUAAAGAGUGGGGCCAUAGGUCAAUUGUAAUUGCAUCUUAAGUUGGCUACACACUUGUCUCGCAGAAUGUUGCCAAAUAUCAUAUAUUUUUGAUUUAAAUAUCAUGAAACUAUUAAUCAAAUUGGCUGCGCCAUUCGCCGAUUCACGACGAUCGAAUAUAUUACAAAUGUAUAUAUAAGUAUAUUUACACCUAUCAGCAAUUAAUAUUUUAAAUGAAAAAUUUAUAAAUUUCUGGAUUAACUAGGUUUUUCAUCUUGAUCGUAAGAUUGCUAAAAUAAGUAAAUUGACAACUUAUUAACAAUUGUUAAAUAAUGAGAUACUGCGAGAAGGUAUAGAGGAAGCGAAGAAGGCAAGUAAACAAUACGAUACUACUUCGAAAUCUUGUAAAAAAUCUCUGAAAGUCUAUGUCAUAUUGCAAAUGUUUUCAAAGUAUCAUAUAGAAUGCUUUAACUACGAGAACUACAAAUGUACGCUUGUUUCAUUUCCUGCUGAGACAGUUCCAUAUUAUCACGCUAUACUGUUGUUCACUUGAUUCAUUGGUUAUCGCGUUUCCAUAGUCGAACUUAAUUUUUACAAUCAUUUGUCGAUUAAUCAUUAUUUAUCAAAUACUACGGUUUAAUAUUUGCCAGAAGUUUAUCUUUAGUUCUUCAGUUCUUCUCUAUAUACUACCUAACAAACUGGAUAUUUAAUGGAGGCAGAUUCAUUGAUCUAAAGAGUAAAGAAA